CUCACGGACUGUGCCCGGUCCUGGUCCUCCCUCUCGGGUGGCUCCAGGCGCCCUCCCCAGCGUCCUGUGCCUCCGUUCUGUGUCUCCUCUCCUCGCCACCCCAUCCGCACCAGCAGUGGGAACCGGGUGGAACCAUCUUGGUGGGGCGGGGGACGGCAGGUCCAGGUCCGGGCAGGGCAGGGCCACAUUACAGAGCUCAGCAAGGCAGGGGCAGCUCCGGCUGGGGCUUGACUCAAGCCAGGGUCUGUAAGCACAGGCCUGGGCCUCAGCCGAAACCUCCCGGGAUCCUCCAGACUCCUGUGAGUCUGAUGGAGCGAAUCCUGCCAUUCUCCGAGUUCAGAGUGACUCGCCGAGCACGAUCCAGAUGUGAGGCCCGGAGUCAGCGAGCAAACAAAGGCCGCCGGCAGUGCAGCUGCGGGGGAACAGUCAGCUCUGUUCACCAGAACCCGAGCAGCAGGAGCUCUAGGAACCCGAGAGCCACAGCUUUGGGCAUCGUCACCGUUUUCUCCCUCUGUGCCUCCUCCAACAUGACCUCCCAGGCCACAUACAACCCAGACUCUCCAGGACCUUCCUUGGCAAAGUGAGUGAAGGAAACUUGUUUGGUAAACGAGAAAAGGCCGAGAUUGCUCUCUGCUGAGUUCCAAGAUUAAAAAAUGAGAAAAUCUUGGUGUUUUUCUUCCUUGGCUUUUGCUGAGUCUUUUUCCCAGUUUCUUUUCCUGG
rnacentral:lncRNA from 1 species